GCCCAUUAUAUGGGGAUAACACUUUAAAACAGGUGCUAAUACCGCAUAACAAUCGAAACCGCAUGGUUUUGAUUUGAAAGGCGCUUUCGGGUGUCGCUGAUGGAUGGACCCGCGGUGCAUUAGCUAGUUGGCGAGGUAACGGCUCACCAAGGCCACGAUGCAUAGCCGACCUGAGAGGGUGAUCGGCCACAUUGGGACUGAGACACGGCCCGAACUCCUACGGGAGGCAGCAGUAGGGAAUCUUCAGCGAUGGACGAAAGUCUGACCGAGCAACACCGCGUGAGUGAAGAAAGUUUUCGGAUCGUAAAACUCUGUUGUUAGAGAAGAACAAGGAUGAGAGUGACUGUUCAUCCCUUGACGGUAUCUAACCAGAAAGCCACGGCUAACUACGUGCCAGCAGCCGCGGUAAUACGUAGGUGGCAAGCGUUGUCCGGAUUUAUUGGGCGUAAAUCGAGCGCAGGCGGUUUCUUAAGUCUGAUGUGAAAGCCCCCGGCUCAACCGGGGAGGGUCAUUGGAAACUGGGAGACUUGAGUGCAUAACAGGACAGUGGAAUUCCAUGUGUAGCGGUGAAAUGCGUAGAUAUAUGGAGGAACACCAGUGGCGAAGGCGGCUCUCUGGUCUGUAACUGACGCUGAGGCUCGAAAGCGUGGGGAGCAAACAGGAUUAGAUACCCUGGUAGUCCACGCCGUAAACGAUGAGUGCUAAGUGUUGGAGGGUUUCCGCCCUUCAGUGCUGCAGCUAACGCAUUAAGCACUCCGCCUGGGGAGUACGACCGCAAGGUUGAAACUCAAAGGAAUUGACGGGGGCCCGCACAAGCGGUGGAGCAUGUGGUUUAAUUCGAAGCAACGCGAAGAACCUUACCAGGUCUUGACAUCCUUUGACCACUCUAGAGAUAGAGCUUCCCCUUCGGGGGCAAAGUGACAGGUGGUGCAUGGUUGUCGUCAGCUCGUGUCGUGAGAUGUUGGGUUAAGUCCCGCAACGAGCGCAACCCUUAUUGUUAGUUGCCAUCAUUCAGUUGGGCACUCUAGCAAGACUGCCGGUGACAAACCGGAGGAAGGUGGGGAUGACGUCAAAUCAUCAUGCCCCUUAUGACCUGGGCUACACACGUGCUACAAUGGGAAGUACAACGAGUUGCGAAGUCGCGAGGCUAAGCUAAUCUCUUAAAGCUUCUUUCAGUUCGGAUUGCCGGUUGCAACU
rnacentral:rRNA from 1 species